rnacentral:rRNA from 1 species
UACCAGCACCCCGAGUGGUCGGGACGAUUAUUGGGCCUAAAGCAUCCGUAGCCGGUCCUACAAGUCUUCCGUUAAAUCCACCUGCUUAACAGAUGGGCUGCGGAAGAUACUAUAGGGCUAGGAGGCGGGAGAGGCAAGCGGUACUCAGUGGGUAGGGGUAAAAUCCUCUGAUCCAUUGAAGACCACCAGUGGCGAAGGCGGCUUGCCAGAACGCGCUCGACGGUGAGUGAUGAAAGCUGGGGGAGCAAACCGG